rnacentral:rRNA from 1 species
CCUACGGUGAGCAGCAGUGGGGGAUAUUGCACAAUGGGGGAAACCCUGAUGCAGCGACGCCGCGUGAGUGAAGAAGUAUUUCGGUAUGUAAAGCUCUAUCAGCAGGGAAGAAAAUGACAGUACCUGACCAAGAAGCCCCGGCUAACUACGUGCCAGCAGCCGCGGUAAUACGUAGGGGGCAAGCGUUAUCCGGAUUUACUGGGUGUAAAGGGAGCGUAGACGGUUAUGUAAGUCUGGAGUGAAAGCCCGGGGCCCAACCCCGGGACUGCUUUGGAAACUGUGUAACUGGAGUACAGGAGGGGCAGGCGGAAUUCCUGGUGUAGCGGUGAAAUGCGUAGAUAUCAGGAGGAACACCGAUUGCGAAGGCAGCGUACCGGCCGGUCACUGACGCUGAGGCACGAAAGCGCGGGUAUCGAACAGGAUUAGAUACCCCAGUAGUC